GAUGAACGCUGGCGGCGUGCCUAAUACAUGCAAGUCGAGCGAACAGAUGAGGAGCUUGCUCCUCUGACGUUAGCGGCGGACGGGUGAGUAACACGUGGAUAACCUACCUAUAAGACUGGGAUAACUUCGGGAAACCGGAGCUAAUACCGGAUAAUAUAUUGAACCGCAUGGUUCAAUAGUGAAAGACGGUUUUGCUGUCACUUAUAGAUGGAUCCGCGCCGCAUUAGCUAGUUGGUAAGGUAACGGCUUACCAAGGCGACGAUGCGUAGCCGACCUGAGAGGGGGGUCGGCCACCCUGGAACUGAGACACGGUCCAGACUCCUACGGGAGGCAGCAGUAGGGAAUCUUCCGCAAUGGGCGAAAGCCUGACGGAGCAACGCCGCGUGAGUGAUGAAGGUCUUCGGAUCGUAAAACUCUGUUAUUAGGGAAGAACAAAUGUGUAAGUAACUAUGCACGUCUUGACGGUACCUAAUCAGAAAGCCACGGCUAACUACGUG
rnacentral:rRNA from 1 species